ACUCGGGCACGAUCCGGCUAGCGGCCGGAACCGACCCGAAGUUCAAUCCUGAGGGA
rfam:Corynebacterium timonense strain DSM 45434 genome assembly, chromosome: I